rnacentral:ncRNA from 1 species
AUUAGUUGAGGGCAGAAAGGGUAGCUGCCACGCCACUUGUUGGUCUUUAAAGAGAUGUAGGAGUGCCAUCCUACCAAUUAAU